rnacentral:tRNA from 1 species
AUCGUGGUGGUCUGCGGUGCCAGCACCGUCAGGUCGAACUUGGGGCGCACGCCCACGCGGGCGUAGCGCAGGUUCAUCACCCGCACCGCGAUACC